AUGGCCUUUUUGGACUGCGGAGGGCAAGGGAGCGAGACAGAAUGUAGGACGCUGGAGGCUGUUGUUUCGAGUGGCGGAUCCUGGUGGAUCUGCCACCGGAGGAUUUCUAACAUAGAACGAAAUCCAUGAACCUGUGAAGAACAGAGCUCACUUUCCUGAGGUCAGAUGCUUAAAUCCCUUCAGAGUUCAGACAUGGAAGGCAGGGCAGGAGGCUGAACGAUUAAGAGAGAACUGAUCGCACACAGGGCCCAGGCAGCACACACAACCUGGGACCAUGAAAGAUUUCUGCAGGGAUUCCUGGCUCAGCUAGGGUGUUUGGGUGCAAAGCUGUAAAUUCCCUGCACUGGCCAGAGUUCCCUGUCUGCACCCACCAUGCCAUCGUCUUCCGCCAAGCACAUCUUGGCGGUACCUGUACAGAUACGUACACAACUAACCUUAAUGCUGAUGGGACAUAAACUUCCGGUCUGCUGCCAUUUCUACUUCUUCUCGCUCUGAGUUGUGGAAACUGAGAAUCUUUCCAUGUACUCCAUAUUACUUCCAAAGGGGGAGACAUUAACCUUAGCAAGCUCUAUCAAUCCACAGCGGGACCAUGGAGUUUUCAGACCCUCCACUCAGAGGGGCAUGUGCUGUGAAAUACCAACUGCUCGCGGCUUAGCUAAUGGGCCCAUUAGAGCUGUGUUUAAUAACUUUUGAAAAUAAAUCUGCUUUGAUAUUUUUGGCA